GGGGGCAGCGUCCUGCUCAGGCUUUGGGGGAUUGAAGCGCCCACCGUGGCCUCGGCCAGGCACUCUGGGCUUUGAGGCACCUGCACUGAGAGCUCCAAAGGGAAGGGAAGGACAGGGAUUUGAGACUGAGGCCUUCACACCGAAAAUACGCUUCCUCGUCCUGAUGCCAGCAGCUUGCAGAUUGUUAAUGCUGGAGCGAGAGGCAAGGAUGUCACGGAUCUUUUCCGGGUGCUUGCCAAGUGAGAUGCUGAUGACUAUCUGCACAAGGAAAGGAAAUGAGGAAGCUGUAGUAGGCUCUUCACUCUCAGCAAAGGCUGCGGCCGCUGACAAUGACCCGAGAGCAGCAUGAGAACAUGGGAAGACUUUCUCCGAAUUCAGCCCAUCAUUCCAAGUGCACUUCUUUCUUUGGAUGCAUGAGCGGAACUGAAGAGAGUGCACGAGGGUUCUGGAGUUUACCGACUAAUCAGACGUUUUUAAGCCCACAGAAUUCCUUGUUAUUAUUAAUGUCCCCUUAGGCUGCAGCCAGUGGACGGUUGACCACAACAAAGAUGGCGACAGCGGCCUCACCACGGUAACGGCGACGCUAUUUGCCAACGAGCGCGUCAAUGCUUACUUCCGGCCUGCCUAUUUAACGUCACUUCCGACCCCGGCUCCGCGGCGUGUGCGCCGUGCUUCCCGCUGCCGCGGUGCCCAUGCAGAGCCCCGGGGCUGUGGGAUCUGAGUGAGUCUCGCGGAGGGAAUCCGAGGGAAUGUGGGGCCGGCAACAUGGAAGGGGAAGCUGGGAAGCCCGCGGCUGUUGUCGCGGUUGUGACUGAGCCUCGGUUUACCCAGCGAUACAGAGAGUAUCUCGAGAAACAGCAACUCCUAGAUAGACAGCACCGUCUGGAAAAGAUGCCGGAUGGCACGGUGGCGCUGCCGGUGCUGGGCGAGGCGCUCCCUGAGCGGCACCUGCAGGAGCUGCGGAACCGUGUGGCUCCAGGCAGCACCUGUAGGGUAACGCAGCUCCGGGAUCCUGUUCCCUCAAAGAAGGCCCAGGGUGGUUCGCCCGCCCAGAGGCUGCGUCUUGAAGUGAGUCGCUGGGUAGAGGGCCGGGGAGUGACGUGGUCCGCUGACUUGGAGGCUGAUUUGCCCCGAUCUUGGCAACGACACGGUAACCUCUUGUUGCUGAGCGAGGACUGUUUCCAAGCCAAGCAGUGGGAAAAUCUGGAACCAGAACUCUGGAAGACUGUUGCGUCGGCACUUGGCGUCCAUCGUGUGGCCAAACGAGGGCGGGUAUCACCCGAUGGCACUCGAACCCCAGCAGUGACUCUGCUGCUGGGCGACGAUGGCUGGGUAGAGCAUGUGGAUAAUGGGAUCCGAUAUAAGUUUGACGUGACCCGGUGCAUGUUCUCCUUCGGAAACAUCACGGAGAAGCUUCGAGUGGCAUCGCUGCCCUGUGCUGGAGAAGUGCUGGUGGAUCUGUAUGCGGGGAUUGGUUAUUUUACAUUGCCCUUCCUAGUCCAUGCUGGGGCUGCCUUCGUCCAUGCCUGUGAGUGGAAUCCCCAUGCGGUAGUUGCUCUGAGAAAGAACCUUGAUAUCAAUGGAGUAGCACAUCGGUGCCAGAUACACUUUGGGGAUAACAGAAAACUGAAGCUCUCAAACAUUGCAGACAGGGUGAACCUGGGGCUGAUUCCCAGCUCGGAAGAAGGCUGGCCCAUUGCCUGCCAACUGCUAAGACGGGAUGCGGGGGGCAUUUUGCAUAUCCACCAAAAUGUGGAAUCUUACCCAGGGAAGACUCUCCAGCCUCCUGGAAGCAGUGAAAUGGAAAAGGAGCAUUCUUCUUAUCCUCAGCAAAUUGUCACCAACCAAUGGACAAAUGGCGCUACCAGGGAUUCUAGGAGAAAAAUGCCAUCAGCAGCCACCAAACCAGAGUGGCAGAGGUGGGCAGAGUCUGCAGAAACUUGUAUUGCCACCCUUCUUCAGCAGGUGCACGGGAAACCAUGGAAGACCCAAAUCCUGCACAUCCAACCGGUGAAAUCCUAUGCUCCCCACGUGGAUCACAUCGUGUUGGAUUUGGAAUGCCGCCCCUGUGCUCUACAUGGCUAAAGAAGGUGGAUCCUGAGACACAAGGAUCUGCAUCUUUCAAGCCUCAACCCAAAAAAAUGCCAUGCUGGAGCUUGAACCAAUAAGAGGAGAAGGAAGGCAGGGAGGAAACAAUGGGGAAGUUUUCUCCGAGCACUUGCUGGAUUGGCCUGGUCAGGAAGAGGCAUCUAAUGGAACC